CAUACCUUUCUCGGCCUUUUGGCUAAGAUCAAGUGUAGUAUCUGUUCUUAUCAGUUUAAUAUCUGAUAUGUGGGCCAUCGGCCCACACGAUAUUAACUCUAUUUUUUAAGGGAGGAAGCCCGUUUAGAUAGCUUGCUAUCUGGGCUUUCACGAGUCUCCCAUGCGUUGCACUAUUGCGAGGGCUUGGCUCAACCCGCCAUUUAUUCAGUCUAAGGAAAUAAAA
rnacentral:snRNA from 1 species